UAUCGAUAGUUAUCAGGAUAGGGUUAAAAGUUUGUCUGUUUAGUAUAAACUGUUAUUUUAUUGUAAUUGUGGACGCAUAAAACUGUUUAUCUUGAAACUUUUUUCCAGGCUCAAGAGCUGCGUAAGAAACGUACGUUCAGGAAGUUUACAUAUCGUGGGGUGGACCUGGACCAGCUGCUCGAUAUGACUAAAGUACACGCAUCGCUUGUCAGCAAUACGCGUCAAACUGGUUGGUCUAUGUUCAAGAGUGCACUGACGUUGUUUAUACCAUUAUUACCAUAAUGCAUGGAAGUGAAAAAAAAAAAAAUUUAAUAAAAAUUCAAAAUGGAAUUCAUCUGUAAUAUUGGAGAAGCUGGGGACAUAACUAAUGAACAGGAAAUGUUAUUUUAGUGCCAAGAAUGUC